rnacentral:rRNA from 1 species
GCUUACCAAASCUUAUGAUCUGUCCGGGUGKGAGACAAAGASCCCGAAGAUGGACCKGAACCAAGUUUCCAGCCCUUMGGGGGGCAAGCAGGCGGGAAACCUCCCCAAUGGGAAAAAUCGSGRCGGGGGGAUCCCCAAGUCCCAUUYUUAMCGGAAUAACUUAUUUAAAGGGUAAAAASUUUUUGGAAWAAGASYUGGGCAAGMCGUUSCCAGCCCCGCCGGUAACCCCGCAAGCUUUAGUGGUASYUGUUUUUAUGGGCCUAAAGCGUUCGUAGCCGGUUUUGAUAAGUCACGGGUGAAAUCCKGUAGCUUAACUGUGGGAAUUGCUGGUGAUACUGUUGAACUUGAGGUCGGGAGAGGUUAGCGGUACUCCCAGGGUAGAGGUGAAAUUCUGUAAUCCUGGGAGGACCACCUGUGGCGAAGGCGGCUAACUGGAACGAACCUGACGGUGAGGGACGAAAGCUAGGGGCGCGAACCGGUUUAGAUACCCGGGUAGUCCUAGCCGUAAACGAUGCGGGCCCUCUCUUGGAUGGCUUUGAGCCGCUCCGGUGCCGAAGGGAAGCUGUUAAGUCYGCCGCCUKGGAAG